CGUUAAAGUACAACCCCUGAAAAUGGCAAAAACGACAAAAUUUUGCAGAGAAAAUUCAAAAUAACUGACUUCCUGUUGGGAUUCGAAUUUCGUACCAAGAGACUUUUUUGUAGGUAUUGGUGUGUUACAUGUGUGUACCGAUUUUUGUACAUGUACGUGAAAUGUAGCUCGAGGCACACUCCGUUGAAAGUGUAUAGGUGGCGCUAUCGAGGCAUUUUGCCACACCCGAUGGAAUAUUGGCCUUCAGAUGUGUUCAGGCCAGGACUCUUAUCAAACAUGUGAAGUUUGGGCAAGAUCGGACAUUUUAUGCCUGAGUUACAAUAAUUUUUAUUCCCAUGGCGAGACAUCGAACUUUGUGACGGCGCCAUGGACACGCCCUUUAACGAAAACUCAAGAUCUUCACAAUUUAACAUCGCACAGGCCUUUAGAAUAGAGUGACUGAAAAAAAAAAAUUAUGUCAUAAAAUUUCUCGGGGUAGUUUGUUACAGCGUAAAAUAUGUCACUUCCUGUUGCCAUUAGGUGGCGCUAUGACUAUAACUGAAUAUGGGCAUAUCAAUCUGUUCAGGUCAGGAGUCUUAUCAAACAUGUGAAGUUUGGGGCAGAUUGGACAUUGUAUGUCUGAGUUAUAGCAACUUCAUUUUUCAUGGCGAAUCAUCGAAAUUCGUCAGGCCGCCACGGACACGCCCUUCAACGAAAACUCAAGAUCUUCGCAAUUUAACAUCGCAAAGGCCUUUAGAUUAGGCAUACCAAAUUUGGUGUUGAUCUGAAUAAAUCUCUAGGAGGAGUUCGUUAAAAUACAAGGCAUGCAAAUGACAAAAAAAUUACCCAAAAUUUGCUCAUAAAAUUCAAAAUAACCGACUUCCUGUUGGGUUUCGGAUAUUGCUCCAAGAGUCUUUUUUGUAGGUACUGAUGCUUUACAUAUGUGUGCCAAUUUUCGUGCAUGUACGUGAAACACAGCUUGAGGGCUGAUGAUUUUUUUACGAUAGGUGGCGCUGUCGAGCCAUUUUGCCACACCCUCUUCUGAAACCUAUAUCAGACGUAAAUUUUCACCAGGUCUGACGCGUGUGCAAAGUUUCAGGACUUUUCGAGCAUGUUUAGGCCCUCAAAAAUGCGAUUCAUUUUGGAGAAGAAGAAGAAUAAUAAUAAUAAUAAACAAAGCAGAUACAAUAGGGUCCUCACACCAUCGGUGCUCGGGCCCUAAUUAAAGCUGCAAGCAGCGAUGAACGGGCCCUCGCACCCGGGCUCACCGCCAGCGGGUGGCUUUAGUAAAACAGCGAACGGCGAGAAAUAUGCGUUUAAUGUGGUAAAUAUAAGAGAAAUAUGUCAAAGUGAUUUAUAUGUGCCAAUCUUCCUGCUGCCAGCUGGUGGCGCUAUGACUAUAACUCAAUUUUAGCAUGUAGAUUUCUUCAGUCCAGCACUUUUAUCAAGCCUAUGAAAUUUAGUGCAGAUUGAACAUGGAAUGUUUGAUUUAGUAUAAAGCAUGUGGUGUCCUAUUGCCAACAGGUGGCGCUAUGAUUAUAACUGAAUAUUGGCCUUUAGAUAUCUUCAGGCCAUGACUCUUUCCAAAUAUUUGAAGUUUGGUGCAGAUUGGACAUUGCAUGUUUAAGUUAGUGUAAAACAAGCCAUUUUCUGUUGUCAGCAG
ensembl:lncRNA